AGAGUUUGAUCCUGGCUCAGGACGAACGCUGGCGGCGUGCCUAAUACAUGCAAGUCGAGCGGACUUGAGGGAGCUUGCUCCCGAAAGUCAGCGGCGGACGGGUGAGUAACACGUGGGUAACCUGCCUAUAAGACUGGGAUAACUUCGGGAAACCGGAGCUAAUACCGGAUAAUUCCUUCCUUCGCAUGAAGGAAGACUGAAAGACGGUUCUGCUGUCACUUAUAGAUGGACCCGCGGCGCAUUAGCUAGUUGGUGAGGUAACGGCUCACCAAGGCGACGAUGCGUAGCCGACCUGAGAGGGUGAUCGGCCACACUGGGACUGAGACACGGCCCAGACUCCUACGGGAGGCAGCAGUAGGGAAUCUUCCGCAAUGGACGAAAGUCUGACGGAGCAACGCCGCGUGAGUGAUGAAGGUUUUCGGAUCGUAAAACUCUGUUGUUAGGGAAGAAUAAGUACCAGUUAACUGCUGGUACCUUGACGGUACCUAACCAGAAAGCCACGGCUAACUACGUGCCAGCAGCCGCGGUAAUACGUAGGUGGCAAGCGUUGUCCGGAAUUAUUGGGCGUAAAGCGCGCGCAGGCGGUCCUUUAAGUCUGAUGUG
rnacentral:rRNA from 1 species